rnacentral:rRNA from 1 species
UACGUAGGGGGCAAGCGUUGUCUGGAUUUAUUGGGCGUAAAGAGCGUGUAGGCGGCCAGGUAGGUGGGUUGUGAAAACUGGAGGCUCAACCUUCAGACGUCGACCCAAACCCCCUGGCUAGAGUCCGGAAGAGGAGAGUGGAAUUCCUGGUGUAGCGGUGAAAUGCGCAGAUAUCAGGAAGAACACCCGUGGCGAAGGCGGCUCUCUGGGACGGUACUGACGCUGAGACGCGAAAGCGUGGGGAGCGAACAGG